rnacentral:rRNA from 1 species
UACGUGAGGGUGCGAGCGUUUGUCCGGAAUUAUUGGGCGUAAGGGCUCGUAGGCGGUUUGUCGCGUCGGGAGUGAAAACCACCGGGCUUAACUCGGUGCUUGCUUUCGAUACGGGCAGACUUGAGGCAUGCAGGGGAGAACGGAAUUCCUGGUGUAGCGGUGAAAUGCGCAGAUAUCAGGAGGAACACCAAUGGCGAAGGCAGCUCGCUGGGACGGUACUGACGCUGAGACGCGAAAGCGUGGGGAGCAAACAGG